rnacentral:rRNA from 1 species
GACGAACGCUGGCGGCGUGCUUAACACAUGCAAGUCGAACGAAGAGCGAUGGGAGCUUGCUUCUAUCAAUCUUAGUGGCGAACGGGUGAGUAACGCGUAAUCAACCUGCCCUUCAGGGGGGGACAACAGUUGGAAACGACUGCUAAUACCGCAUACGAUCUAAUCUCGGCAUCGAGGAUAGAUGAAAGGUGGCCUCUACAUGUAAGCUAUCACUGAAGGAGGGGAUUGCGUCUGAUUAGCUAGUUGGAGGGGUAACGGCCCACCAAGGCGAUGAUCAGUAGCCGGUCUGAGAGGAUGAACGGCCACAUUGGGACUGAGACACGGCCCAGACUCCUACGGGAGGCAGCAGUGGGGAAUCUUCCGCAAUGGACGAAAGUCUGACGGAGCAACGCCGCGUGAGUGAUGACGGCCUUCGGGUUGUAAAGCUCUGUUAAUCGGGACGAAAGGCCUUCUUGCGAACAGUUAGAAGGAUUGACGGUACCGGAAUAGAAAGCCACGGCUAACUACGUG